GUGGUUCAGUGGUAGAAUUCCUGCCUUCAGUGCAGGGGCCCAGGUUCCAUUCCUGGC
rnacentral:tRNA from 1 species